ACACUCCUACGGGAGGCAGCAGUGGGGAAUAUUGCACAAUGGGCGCAAGCCUGAUGCAGCGACGCCGCGUGGGGGAUGAAGGCCUUCGGGUUGUAAACUCCUUUCGCUAGGGACGAAGCUUUUUUGUGACGGUACCUAGAUAAGAAGCACCGGCUAACUACGUGCCAGCAGCCGCGGUAAUACGUAGGGUGCGAGCGUUGUCCGGAAUUACUGGGCGUAAAGGGCUCGUAGGUGGUUUGUCGCGUCGUCUGUGAAAUUCUGGGGCUUAACUCCGGGCGUGCAGGCGAUACGGGCAUAACUUGAGUGCUGUAGGGGUAACUGGAAUUCCUGGUGCAGCGGUGAAAUGCGCAGAUAUCAGGAGGAACACCGAUGGCGAAGGCAGGUUACUGGGCAGUUACUGACGCUGAGGGGCGAAAGCAUGGGUAGCGAACAGGAUUAGAUACCCUAGUAGUCCC
rnacentral:rRNA from 1 species